GUUACCAGCACGUUAUGGUGGGCACUCUAAGGAGAACUGCCGGUGACAAACCGGACGGAAAGGUGGGGAUGACGUCAAGUCAUCAUGGCCCUUACGGCCUGGGCUACACACGUGCUACAAUGGUCGGUACAAAGGGUUGCCAAGCCGCGAGGUGGAGCUAAUCCCAUAAAACCGAUCGUAGUCCGGAUCGCAGUCUGCAACUCGACUGCGUGAAGUCGGAAUCGCUAGUAAUCGUGAAUCAGAAUGUCACGGUGAAUACGUUCCCGGGCCUU
rnacentral:rRNA from 1 species